CCUUCGAUAGCUCAGUUGGUAGAGCGGUGGACUGUAGUUGGAAACAUAUGCAAUAGAAAUCCAUAGGUCGCUGGUUCAAAUCCGGCUCGAAGGA
rfam:Drosophila ananassae strain TSC#14024-0371.13 Ctg01_19616, whole genome shotgun sequence.